GAACGAUAACACAAAUCAACCGACAACCAUCAAUAUUUUCUAAAUCUGUAUGCGCCAUACAAAAAUAAAUUUUCGACACAAACGGAUAGUUUUUUUUUUUAUUAGUAAAUUUGUUUUCAUUAUGAAAAAAUCAAUAUUUUUAAUUUAACCGUGCAUGUUGGACAGAGAAAAAAUAACUUUUUAUUUUAGAUCAGAUAUAAGGCGUUGUUUAAUUUUUUGAAUUAUAACGAAUUUUAUAAUGUUUUAUAUUGCUUUAAACAAUGUUUUAUUAAACCUAUUUAACAUAGUUUUACUCAGAAUCUUUUUUGAUUAGUAAUAAUUUAUCGUUGCGUAAAUUAAAUUGGCCUAUAAAUCCUAUACCUUUCCAACUUCACACCUACAAUAAUGGCAAUUAGAUUAAAUAUCUAUGAUUCGAUCGUUUUUUUUCUUUCCUUUUUUGACAAUAAUUUAGAAAAACAGAAAAAAAAACCUCAAAAUAUUUUAGGCAACUAAAACCAUACCGAACACGUGAAAUAUCGAUUUUG